UACGGGGGGGCUAGCGUUGCUCGGAAUUACUGGGCGUAAAGCGCACGUAGGCGGCUUUCUAAGUCGGGGGUGAAAUCCUGGAGCUCAACUCCAGAACUGCCUUCGAUACUGGAAAGCUCGAGUCCGGGAGAGGUGAGUGGAACUGCGAGUGUAGAGGUGAAAUUCGUAGAUAUUCGCAAGAACACCAGUGGCGAAGGCGGCUCACUGGCCCGGUACUGACGCUGAGGUGCGAAAGCGUGGGGAGCAAACAGG
rnacentral:rRNA from 1 species